UGUAUGUUGGCAUAAAUUCGCACAUUGGUCCAUUAUGCACUGGAUGAAUCAGCCCAAGCAGCAGCACAGCAAGAAUAUAAACAAUGGAACUUUGUCUCGUUUCGAGCUUUCGAGUAGAAUUUAGUCAUAUGUACAUAUUUAUAUACGAUUGUAUGCAGGUAUUUAUAUAUCUGCAUUUAUAAUUAUAUACGUACGUAUAUAUUCUGUGCUAUAUACCGAACAAUCAACAACGUCCCAUUACCAACCAAAGAGCGGUCGUUUCCAUCACCUCGCCAUCCAUAACAGUCAGGGCUUUUAGUUGCGCGCGUCGACCGCCUGACAGAGCAUUCGUUAAAAUAGUCUGGUUGUGCUCGCCAACCGUGGACUUAUUCUCUCCUUAAUUGCUUUUUUGCAUUUUUUGUUUAUAAAAUUUUAAUAAUUGUUUUAAAUUUAUUUUACUUUCGUUUUGCUUCGUAGUUUGUUUGGUUAAAUCGGUGGCGUUUCGUUAAUAAAGUGAUUUCAUAUUUUUUGUGUAUAUUAAGUAAAUAUUGCGUAGUUGAAUUUUUAACUUGUACUCGUAUACACAAAAUUCAGAAACGGUUUCGCCUGUUGUGACGUGUUUUAUGGUUUAAACAAAGUAUCUAGUUGUUAUAUUAGAAAUAAUAUCUACAAAGGCCACCAAAACAAUUGCUUGAAUAAAUAGAGUGUAAAAACGAUUGUGGUUAACAUCAGCCACUCGUAAAAGAUAUAUACUACAUAUUGCUAAGCAUUUAAGAGACGACAAAACACAUUUGCGCUCAUAACUUGUGGUUGGCAAAUUUAAUUGUCCGUAUAAGCAUUUUCUGAGAGUGAUACUUUACACAGUGUUGUCGAAUCCAUUUUAAACAUCUGCAUAUACAUAUGUACGUACAAAUUACAUACCUAGAUAUUAUUUUAAAAGUGGCAUAACUAUCGAUAAAAUUGCAUGAAAUGACUUAUGUCACUUUCGAAAUAAACGGUCCAUACGUAUCUUUGUACAAAAAAUAAUUAUCAAGAGUUCUCGUGUUUCUUUCUAUGAUAGACAUAAUCCUGCAGAUAGGUUGCAAUCCGG
rnacentral:misc_RNA from 1 species